rnacentral:rRNA from 1 species
CGCCGCUGGGGGGGAUGAAGCUUCUCGGAGUGUAAAACCCCCUUUUCGACCCCGGGAAGAAUGCCCGCAAGGGGCUUUGACGGUACGGGGUAUAAGAAGCCCCGGCUAACUACGUGC